CCUACGGGAGGCAGCAGUGGGGAAUCUUGUGCAAUGGACGAAAGUCUGACACAGCCACGCCGCGUGCGGGAAGAAGGCCUUCGGGUUGUAAACCGCUUUCAGCAGGAACGAAAAUGACGGUACCUGCAGAAGAAGAUGCGGCCAACUACGUGCCAGCAGCCGCGGUGAUACGUAGGCAUCAAGCGUUGUCCGGAUUUAUUGGGCGUAAAGAGCUCGUAGGCGGUUCGGCAAGUCGGGUGUGAAAACUCUGGGCUUAACCCAGAGCCUGCACUCGAAACUGCUGUGACUAGAGUUCGGUAGGGGAGCAGGGAAUUCCUAGUGUAGCGGUGAAAUGCGCAGAUAUUAGGAGGAACACCAAUGGCGAAGGCACUGCUCUGGGCCGAUACUGACGCUGAGGAGCGAGAGCGUGGGUAGCAAACAGGAUUAGAUACCCUGGUAGUCCACGCCGUAAACGAUGGGCACUAGGUGUGGGUCUCUAACCAACGAGAUCUGCGCCGUCGCUAACGCAUUAAGUGCCCCGCCUGGGGAGUACGGUCGCAAGACUAAAACUUAAGGAAUUGACGG
rnacentral:rRNA from 1 species